AAUAGAUACUCGGGUAGUCCACGCCGUAAACGAUGAGUGCUAAGUGUUAGAGGGUUUCCGCCCUUUAGUGCUGCAGCUAACGCAUUAAGCACUCCGCCUGGGGAGUACGGUCGCAAGACCGAAACUCAAAGGAAUUGACGGGGGCCCGCACAAGCGGUGGAGCAUGUGGUUUAAUUCGAAGCAACGCGAAGAACCUUACCAGGUCUUGACAUCCUCUGACAAUCCUAGAGAUAGGACUUUCCCCUUCGGGGGACAGAGUGACAGGUGGUGCAUGGUUGUCGUCAGCUCGUGUCGUGAGAUGUUGGGUUAAGUCCCGCAACGAGCGCAACCCUUGAUCUUAGUUGCCAGCAUUCAGUUGGGCACUCUAAGGUGACUGCCGGUGACAAACCGGAGGAAAGGGUGGGGAGUGACGUCAAAUCAUCAUGCCCCUUAUGACCUGGGCUACACACGUGCUACAAUGGAUGGUACGAAAAGGGCGUGCAAGACCGCGAGGUUUAAGCCAAUACCCAUAAAAACCAUUCUCAGUUCGGAUUGC
rnacentral:rRNA from 1 species